AUGUAUUGUGAAGAAAAAUAUAUUCAUCGAUUCACACUUAAACGUUGACUUUAUUGCAAUCUAAAACUCUUCCACGAACAUGCUUGAAAUUAUCAAAUAGAGCAACAGGCGAUCAACAGUUAAUAGAUACAUACAUGUAAGAUUAUACUACAGUAACGAUGAAAUGGAUUUAUAUUGGAGGAAAUGUUAUAAAUGUAGAUUUCAGCAAAUUGAGGAUCAAAGUCUUUAUCCGAGAUGUUAAAAUUAUGUCCUGAAUACAUAAAACCUUCCAUUAACAUAGAUUUUAAUCUGAAGCUAAACCAGUGAAAACCAAGUGGGUUUUUACGGAAAAUAUGUAAUUUGUUACAUCUGUUUCAGACUAAAGUACCAAACGUUUCUGUUACAACAAUGCUGAAAAAUUUGAAGUCGUGCAAUGAUGGAUAGAGGAUAUUUUCUAUUCUAUAUUUCCUCCAUUACUUGUUUCCACCUCAGCAGAAAUUAGUUACUGAAAAAGUCGGAGUCCAAACCAGAAAAAAGUUUACCGUAACAGAUUCUCUUACUUCGUUUGCCAUAGUUGCAGAAACCAAAGAGAAGCUGAAUAUGAAAUUAAAACUCCUUAAACUUCAACAUAGUACAAUCCAACCACGGUUGCUUAAAACUUAAAAAUUAUUUCUCAAUUUUAUGUUACU